UUGCUAGGUCAAAUACAUGUCCCCCUGACCCUUCUGUUGCUAGGUCAAAUACAUGUCCCCCGGACCCUUCUGUUGCUAGGUCAAAUACAUGUCCCCUGACCCUUCUGUUGCUAGGUCAAAUACAUGUCCCCCUGACCCUUCUGUUGCUAGGUCAAAUACAUGUCCCCCGGACCCUUCCGUUGCUAGGUCAAAUACAUGUCCCCUGACCCUUCUGUUGCUAGGUCAAAUACAUGUCCCCCUGACCCUUCUGUUGCUAGGUCAAAUAAAUGUCCUCCUGACCAUUCUGUUUCUAGGUCAAAUACAUGUCCCCCUGACCCUUCUGUUGGACUUACUGUUGCUAGGUCAAAUACAUGUCCCCCUGACCCUUCUGUUGCUAGGUCAAAUACAUGUCCCCCUGACCCUUCUGUUGCUAGGUCAAAUACAUGUCCCCCG
rnacentral:lncRNA from 1 species